AACGAACGCUGGCGGCAUGCCUAACACAUGCAAGUCGAACGAGACCUUCGGGUCUAGUGGCGCACGGGUGCGUAACGCGUGGGAACCUGCCCUUAGGUUCGGAAUAACUCCCCGAAAGGGGUUCUAAUACCGGAUAAUGUCUUCGGACCAAAGAUUUAUCGCCUUUGGAUGUGCCCGCGUUUGAUUAGCUAGUUGGUAGGGUAAAAGCCUACCAAGGCGACGAUCCAUAGCUGGUCUGAGAGGAUGAUCAGCCACACUGGGACAGAGACACGGCCCAGACUCCUACGGGAGGCAGCAGUGGGGAAUAUGGGACAAGGGGCGAAAGCCUGAUCCAGCAAGGCCGCGUGAGUGAUGAAGGCCUUAGGGUUGUAAAGCUCUUUUACCCGGGAUGAUAAUGACAGUACCGGGAGAAUAAGCACCGGCUAACUCCGU
rnacentral:rRNA from 1 species